rnacentral:rRNA from 1 species
GCAGUCGAACGCGUUGGCCCAAUUGAUUGAUGGUGCUUGCACCUGAUUGAUUUUGGUCGCCAACGAGUGGCGGACGGGUGAGUAACACGUAGGUAACCUGCCCAGAAGCGGGGGACAACAUUUGGAAACAGAUGCUAAUACCGCAUAACAGCGUUGUUCGCAUGAACAACGCUUAAAAGAUGGCUUCUCGCUAUCACUUCUGGAUGGACCUGCGGUGCAUUAGCUUGUUGGUGGGGUAACGGCCUACCAAGGCGAUGAUGCAUAGCCGAGUUGAGAGACUGAUCGGCCACAAUGGGACUGAGACACGGCCCAUACUCCUACGGGAGGCAGCAGUAGGGAAUCUUCCACAAUGGGCGCAAGCCUGAUGGAGCAACACCGCGUGAGUGAAGAAGGGUUUCGGCUCGUAAAGCUCUGUUGUUAAAGAAGAACACGUAUGAGAGUAACUGUUCAUACGUUGACGGUAUUUAACCAGAAAGUCACGGCUAACUACGUGCCAGCAGCCGCGGUAAUACGUAGGUGGCAAGCGUUAUCCGGAUUUAUUGGGCGUAAAGAGAGUGCAGGCGGUUUUCUAAGUCUGAUGUGAAAGCCUUCGGCUUAACCGGAGAAGUGCAUCGGAAACUGGAUAACUUGAGUGCAGAAGAGGGUAGUGGAACUCCAUGUGUAGCGGUGGAAUGCGUAGAUAUAUGGAAGAACACCAGUGGCGAAGGCGGCUACCUGGUCUGCAACUGACGCUGAGACUCGAAAGCAUGGGUAGCGAACAGGAUUAGAUACCCUGGUAGUCCAUGCCGUAAACGAUGAGUGCUAGGUGUUGGAGGGUUUCCGCCCUUCAGUGCCGGAGCUAACGCAUUAAGCACUCCGCCUGGGGAGUACGACCGCAAGGUUGAAACUCAAAGGAAUUGACGGGGGCCCGCACAAGCGGUGGAGCAUGUGGUUUAAUUCGAAGCUACGCGAAGAACCUUACCAGGUCUUGACAUCUUGCGCCAACCCUAGAGAUAGGGCGUUUCCUUCGGGAACGCAAUGACAGGUGGUGCAUGGUCGUCGUCAGCUCGUGUCGUGAGAUGUUGGGUUAAGUCCCGCAACGAGCGCAACCCUUGUUACUAGUUGCCAGCAUUAAGUUGGGCACUCUAGUGAGACUGCCGGUGACAAACCGGAGGAAGGUGGGGACGACGUCAGAUCAUCAUGCCCCUUAUGACCUGGGCUACACACGUGCUACAAUGGACGGUACAACGAGUCGCGAACUCGCGAGGGCAAGCAAAUCUCUUAAAACCGUUCUCAGUUCGGACUGCAGGCUGCAACUCGCCUGCACGAAGUCGGAAUCGCUAGUAAUCGCGGAUCAGCAUGCCGCGGUGAAUACGUUCCCGGGCCUUGUACACACCGCCCGUCACACCAUGAGAGUUUGUAACACCCAAAGUCGGUGGGGUAACCUUUUAGGAGCCAGCCGCCUAA